UGGUGGAGCGAUUUGUCUGGUUAAUUCCGAUAACGAACGAGACUCUAACCUGCUAAAUAGUACGCCGAUCUCUUGUCGGCGCGUACUUCUUAGAGGGACAAGUGGCGGUUAGCCACACGAAAUUGAGCAAUAACA
rnacentral:rRNA from 1 species